AUUGAACGCUGGCGGCAUGCCUUACACAUGCAAGUCGAACGGCAGCACGGGAGCAAUCCUGGUGGCGAGUGGCGAACGGGUGAGUAAAGUAUCGGAACGUGCCCAGUCGUGGGGGAUAACGUAGCGAAAGCUACGCUAAUACCGCAUACGAUCUAUGGAUGAAAGCGGGGGAUCGCAAGACCUCGCGCGAUUGGAGCGGCCGAUAUCAGAUUAGGUAGUUGGUGGGGUAAAGGCCCACCAAGCCGACGAUCUGUAGCUGGUCUGAGAGGACGACCAGCCACACUGGACUGAGACACGGCCCAGACUCCUACGGGAGGCAGCAGUGGGGAAUUUUGGACAAUGGGCGCAAGCCUGAUCCAGCAAUGCCGCGUGCAGGAUGAAGGCCUUCGGGUUGUAAACUGCUUUUGUACGGAACGAAAAGGCUCUCACUAAUACUGGGGGCUCAUGACGGUACCGUAAGAAUAAGCACCGGCUAACUACGUGCCAGCAGCCGCGGUAA
rnacentral:rRNA from 1 species